GAUGAACGCUGGCGGCGUGCCUAAUACAUGCAAGUCAAGCGAACAGACGAGGAGCUUGCUCCUCUGACGUUAGCGGCGGACGGGUGAGUAACACGUGGAUAACCUACCUAUAAGACUGGGAUAACUUCGGGAAACCGGAGCUAAUACCGGAUAAUAUAUUGAACCGCAUGGUUCAAUAGUGAAAGACGGUUUUGCUGUCACUUAUAGAUGGAUCCGCGCCGCAUUAGCUAGUUGGUAAGGUAACGGCUUACCAAGGCAGCGAUGCGUAGCCGACCUGAGAGGGUGAUCGGCCACACUGGAACUGAGACACGGUCCAGACUCCUACGGGAGGCAGCAGUAGGGAAUCUUCCGCAAUGGGCGAAAGCCUGACGGAGCAACGCCGCGUGAGUGAUGAAGGUCUUCGGAUCGUAAAACUCUGUUAUUAGGGAAGAACAAAUGUGUAAGUAACUAUGCACGUCUUGACGGUACCUAAUCAGAAAGCCACGGCUAACUACGUG
rnacentral:rRNA from 1 species